UAGGGAAUCUUCCACAAUGGACGAAAGUCUGAUGGAGCAACGCCGCGUGAGUGAAGAAGGUUUUCGGAUCGUAAAGCUCUGUUGUUGGUGAAGAAGGAUAGAGGCAGUAACUGGUCUUUAUUUGACGGUAAUCAACCAGAAAGUCACGGCUAACUACGUGCC
rnacentral:rRNA from 1 species